rnacentral:rRNA from 1 species
UACGGAGGGGGCUAGCGUUGUUCGGAAUUACUGGGCGUAAAGCGUGCGUAGGCGGCUAUGUAAGACAGAUGUGAAAUCCCUGGGCUUAACCUAGGAACUGCAUUUGUGACUGCAUUGCUAGAGUGUGGUAGAGGGAGAUGGAAUUCCGCAUGUAGCAGUGAAAUGCGUAGAUAUGCGGAGGAACACCAAUGGCGAAGGCAAUCUCCUGGACCUGCACUGACGCUCAUGCACGAAAGCGUGGGGAGCAAACAGG